GUGCUUGCUUCGGCAGCACAUAUACUAAAAUUGGAAUGAUACAGAGAAGAUUAGCACGGCCCCUGUGCGAGGAUGACACGCAAAUUCGUGAAGCGUUCCAUGUUUUU
ensembl:snRNA U6 U6 spliceosomal RNA